CAGGGGACCUUCGGGCCUUGCGCGGAUAGAUGAGCCGAUGUCGGAUUAGCUAGUUGGCGGGGUAAAGGCCCACCAAGGCGACGAUCCGUAGCUGGUCUGAGAGGAUGAUCAGCCACACUGGAACUGAGACACGGUCCAGACUCCUACGGGAGGCAGCAGUGGGGAAUAUUGGACAAUGGGCGCAAGCCUGAUCCAGCCAUACCGCGUGGGUGAAGAAGGCCUUCGGGUUGUAAAGCCCUUUUGUUGGGAAAGAAAAGCAGUCGAUUAAUACUCGGUUGUUCUGACGGUACCCAAAGAAUAAGCACCGGCUAACUUCGUGCCAGCAGCCGCGGUAAUACGAAGGGUGCAAGCGUUACUCGGAAUUACUGGGCGUAAAGCGUGCGUAGGUGG
rnacentral:rRNA from 1 species